UGGCACAGACACAGGUUUAUGUCGUCGCCCUACAACCAGGUGAACGGUGUUUGAAUGACCAUUUGUAGACAUUUUUAAACUUCAACUGUCACGUUUUAAAGGAAGGCACAUCAGGUUACAGAAAGAGGAGAGAACAUACCUGCUUAUCAUCUCAUCAAGACUUUGAUAUCACCCUAAAAAGAAACCAGACAACCUUUGCUUCACUGAAGGAGUGACAUCAGACCGAAGAAAUCAGCGAUGUCAGAGUCAUAUCAGUUAGAUGCAUCGAUAGAGGAAGCGCUCCCGCUGAACUCUGUACCAGGAACAGGUGUUCAACAACCUGAGGACACUGGCAAUCAAGUAAUCUGCGUCGGUGAGGACUCUGCUGUGUCCUGCUGCAGUGACAAGUACCACAGGAAGCUGGCCAUCGCUAGCAUCAUCUGCGGGUUCUCCUGCUUCGGAGUCCUAGCCUUGAUUUAUUCCGUAAAGGCUGAGAAUGCUGACAAAGCUGAGAAAGCCAAGGGGACAAGAGACAGGAGAGCUGCAAAGUAUUUAAGACAGGCCAAAAAAUGGGGCAUCAUCUCCAUCGUGACAUGGGUUUCCAUCCUGGUGUCAGUUUCUUUGACACUGGUAUUACUGGUGCUGGUCCUAUCAAAGCUGGGCUUUGAUUGACGAACCUCAGUGGAGCACAUCCAGGGGAGUGUCUUUAAAGAUUCUGAUCAACUAUAUCACUGAUGCUGUGGAGUAACUAAAAGUUACAAUAACCUUAAAAAUACUGAAUUUGUUUAUGUUGUGCUGAAUGUGCUCUAAUCAGCAUUUACAAGAACAAACAGCUGAAAAUCGUAUUAAAUGUAUUAAAACUGUUU